AACAAAAAAGAGAGAAACAAAAUCACAUCUUCGUAAGAGAUAUGUUCAAAAAAACAAGAGCUAGAAUCUGCUUGACUGGGACUGUAGAAGUAUUGUCGAUAUGCGAAAUCUCCACAGAAAGGAUUCGUCACGAUCAGCAGCAGUCACACAGUAAAAAGGCAAACACGAAAACGACGUUUAAUUCGCCUAGGAAAAGAAUAAAACACUGGAAAUCGCAUUUGGCACACAGCAACCACAUUAAGGACUAUGCGGUAGCGGCGACCUAAGAAAGGACAACUGAAUUAUCCAACUCUGUGUAGAUGCUACACAGCUCUAAAAGGUGAACUACGGGGAAGAUCUCCCGCUCAGUUGACCACGCCUGAAAAAGCAAAGGUCCUAUAAAAAAAAGUUGCAUGGUAUUAAUGAUAUUGUUAUAAUAUGUAGAAAGAACAAUAAUUUAAGAGCUCUGUGUUGCAAUUUAAACUCGAUUAUUCAAACAAAAUAAGAAGCUAAGAAAUUAGUCAUUUUUUAAAGAAAUCAUGUAGGCAUGUUUUAUUUACGAUCGUGUCAAGUUAUUAAUGAGUUCCUCUUUUUAAAACCCAUAUUUUAGAAACGAAAUAUUUUUUUAAACUUUGUUUAUCGUAAUCUAUUAAAAUGACCGUAAUAUCUCAUAAAAAGAAAACAAGAAGUAGAUGGCACCUUUUAAAAAUUAUAAUAACUAAACGUGUAUAUGUGAAUCACGUGCUUUAACGAUUUAGUUCAAACUCUUUAAAAAUUCAUAAUCUAAAUAUUUAAAUAAAUUUCGUUAAUUAUAAUUCACUCUAAUAAGAGCAACGAUUGCUUAAAAAUUAUUUAAAAACUGAACUUAAAAUUAAAUAAAAUGUGUACAAAGGACAUUUAAUUACAUAACUGUUUCUUUUCAAAUUCUGAAAUAAAAGCCAUAUUUCAAUACAGCUACACAAGAGCCAUUAAAAAUGAAAAAAAAACGAAAAAUGUUUAUUUACAAAAAAAUUAACUAUUCAAUUUUAGUUUACUAUUCAAAUGCAUUUUUGCAAAUGUAUACUCUUUAGUGUUUAAAAUGACUUUUUUUAAAAUAUUUUAAAAUUUUUAUUAACGUACUACUCAGUAUCGUAGAGAAAAUUUGAGUUUCAUGUGCAAAAAUGUUUUAAAAAUUAUUGUAUUCUGUAAAAAAUGUUUCUCAUAUACUGUCUUAAUUUUUAGAAAUUCUUUCUAUUUCAUUCAGGAAUGGUUUAUUAACGUUUUUUUUUUUUUUUUUGUUUGUUUUUUCCUUAGUCGUGAUCUUUAUAGUAGUUAAUCAUAUCUUUAUUGCUAUUUUCAGAAAAUAUAAUUUAUUAAUCAGUUUACUUCAAACGAUUUGCCAUUAAUUUAUAACACUUUUAAGAAUAAAAUCGUAACAGGGGCUCUGAGAUUGUUACCAUGCUAAUAUAGCAAACCCAAUAGACACAAUGUAAAAGUACUAGAAAUGCGAAAAAUAUUACAAAAUAUUUAUUAAGAACUGCACAUUUUUGGUUAUUAUUAAUGGAAAGAACAUUUUUGUUCAAAUACAAUAUUUCGAAGAUUAAAAUUCUGUUUGAAUAUAUUUUAAAAAUCUAUCAUAAUCUGGUCACUGGAUUAAACAUAAAAAGCUAUAUGUGUUGGGUUUAUUGUUACAUUCUAGGUAGAAAACAUCUCCUUAAAGUUGCCCGUAUAGGAGGCAUCUUAAACAAGACAACCUCUAAAAAGAAAAUUUUAAAAAUAUUUAAUUAAAAUGUUUUAUUUUAUUUUAUAGCUUUCACUCAACAACAAUAUUUUUAGAAAUAAAUAAAAUUCAGUUUUUUUUAAAUUAAAAUUUGCAGUAAGUAUUUUUUUAUUGUAAAACCAUUUCUUUUUUGUAAACUGUGUAUUUUUAUUUUGUACACAUUUCUGGAAAUUCAUUUCGACAGUAAACUAAAAUUGAAUAAAUACUCGUGUUGUGUUGCU